rnacentral:lncRNA from 1 species
UCAAUAUGUUUAUAUUGUAACAAAUAGUUAAUUUCAAGUAAUAACGUAACCUAAAAUGAUUAUUGUUUAGUUAAAUAUAAUCAAAAUGUUUUUAAUAUUGAUUAUUUUGCAUUAAUUAAAUUAUAUUAAAGAUAUUAAACAAACUGAUUUAAGGGUAUGAUGUCAUGUUAACUUGAGUCAAGACUUUAAAUUUUAAAUGGUAACAUAGUAGUAUUGUUAUGUUAUUGUUGUUUACAAGUCUAUUUAUGUCAUGCUUAUUUAAUAAUAUCAAACAUACUGUAAAAUAACAUUGUUUUAGAUUUCCUGCAGGAUCCCUGUUAAAAAAAAAAAACUGAAGAAACUUUAAAAUGUAUUGAAACUUUAGAUGACGGCAACUGAAGAAAAUGAUACACCGUUGGUCAUAGUGUCAUUUCGAGACUUUAGCUCCCCCCGUUUGUUAGUUAAAUGCAAGAUGUCGCAUGGUAUGGCACACUGCAUGAUGAAAGCAUCAAAGAAGCGAAACGAUAAACUUUAAAGCAGAAUUUUGUCACACGAUUAUGGUGGUGAUUACGAGAGAAUUACUGUGGCAGAAUAUUACUAUCGUAGAACAAUUUUGCAUCAAACCAUUGUAUAAUGAUAGUUUUUUGUUGCCUAAAAAUAUUAUGAAAUUCAAA